GAUGAACGCUAGCGAUAGGCUUAACACAUGCAAGUCGAGGGGCAGCAUGGUCUUAGCUUGCUCAGGCUGAUGGCGACCGGCGCACGGGUGCGUAACGCGUAUGCAACUUGCCUCACAGAGGGGGAUAACCCGUCGAAAGACGGACUAAUACCGCGUACACUCUAUGUUGGGCAUCCAAUGUAGAGGAAAUGAAAUUCGCUGUGAGAUAGGCAUGCGUCCCAUUAGCUAGUUGGUGAGGUAACGGCUCACCAAGGCGACGAUGGGUAGGGGAACUGAGAGGUUGAACCCCCACACUGGUACUGAGACACGGACCAGACUCCUACGGGAGGCAGCAGUGAGGAAUAUUGGUCAAUGGGCGAGAGCCUGAACCAGCCAAGUCGCGUGAAGGAUGACUGUCUUAUGGAUUGUAAACUUCUUUUAUACGGGAAUAACAAGAGUCACGUGUGGCUCCCUGCAUGUACCGUAUGAAUAAGCAUCGGCUAACUCCGUG
rnacentral:rRNA from 1 species